CUAAUAUGGUUGGGAUUUUUUAGAUCAGCAGUUAUGCAGAUCCCCGAAGAUCUGAGACAAAUGAAACUCCUACUGGCCUACUAAGUCCCAACAUAUUGA
rnacentral:pre_miRNA from 1 species